CACAUCGCAAUUAAAUCCCAUCCCUGAGUAUAUCAUCUCCAAUUGCUGCAAACCCAUCAAAUCAUUUCAUGAUAAUCAACAAAAAUACAGUCUUAGGAAGUUUCAUAUUAGAGAAUAAACUGUGGUAGAUUUGGCUGGUUUAUCAGUAUGCAUAGAACUUGUCAACUUGGCUUACUGAGGGCAAGAUCUGCCUUACACAAGGAUCAUGAUAUUUUCUUCAGAACUAUUCCCUGCUCAAAAAAGUUGGACACAGGUAUUGCAGAGGAAAGUGACAUUAAGCCAAGGGCUGUGUGACCCCUUAACAAUGUGAAGGAUCUGGCAAACAAGGCAGCAGAGAACAUUCAGUCAAAACUUGAAGAAGAAGGGGAGAAAGCAAAGUCUAUUGCUGAAGAAAUUAGUGAGGAGGCAGAGUCUGUUGAAGGAGACACAGAGGAGAUAGAGCAGUCAUGGGAUAGCACACAGAAGCUGGGUAAGAAAGUGAAAGAUGAAGUCACUGGGUCUUAAAUCUGUAGUGUUAUUGUAAGUAUUUAUAAUUAGCAGAAUGAAUCAAGUUCAAGCUUGGAGUUAUGUUCUUGUACAGUAAAUGGCAUAGUUCCUUAUAUUGGUGGUUUGUAAGCAGAUAUUUUUUUUAUCAGGAAGAACAAAUAAUAGACAAUAAUAUUCCUCCAUAACGAUGUAUUCAGAAA